GCUUCUGUCUACUGGUAUACAUAUGGCAACUCGAUUGCUCUUCAUGCAGAAUCAACAUCAAGAGAUUUGGGAAGCAUAACUUUCUGGUACUUGGGCAGCUGGUGAUUGUUGUUCUCAGUGCCUUU
ensembl:snRNA